UAGGAGCCAGGGGGGCUGCACAUGUCGUCAGCUCUGGUUUGCAUUAUGCAGGUCUGACUGCAGGGAGUUUGAUUAAUGGUUGGAGUCAGAGGGGACAGACACAGGAGCUCAGAGGGAGUUGCACACAACAGCAUCCUGCACACAGCACCACAAUACAGCACUACGUUGUGGUGCAUCUCGUGAGAGUGAAAGAGUCGGGAGGGUCUCCAGUGGUGAUCUUUCAGUGAUGGUGGAGGGGAAGAGCUCGGCGCGUGAGGAUUUAUUGUGUGGAGAAUGUGUUCUGCUGACGACGACAUGACAAGAUGUUCCCGGCUUUAUCGCACCAGUUGCACACUUCUUCCCUUUGUGUUUUGCCAGCUGCCUGCGCUGCUGCAUUCUAGAGUGCCAGGGGUGAAGCGGGGAGCAGAGGCAGGAAGAAGAGGGGACGGGCAGGAGAGAGGGCCAUCCCACACUCCAGACGACAACAUCAGAAUGGAUGCAGCACAAGCGCUGAUGGGGACACACCACAACUGUCUUAAUGAAGCUGUUAAAAACCAACAGACUGCUUGGAUGGAUUUGGCAGCUCUGUGAUCCUGUAAACCUGCAACAAACACUCUCUUUAAUCUAUCUUCCCAG
rnacentral:lncRNA from 1 species